UACGUAGGGGGCUAGCGUUGUCCGGAAUCAUUGGGCGUAAAGCGCGUGUAGGCGGUUCGGUAAGUCCGCUGUGAAAGUCGGGGGCUCAACCCUCGAAUGCCGGUGGAUACUGUCGGGCUCGAGUACGGAAGAGGCGAGUGGAAUUCCUGGUGUAGCGGUGAAAUGCGCAGAUAUCAGGAGGAACACCGAUUGCGAAGGCAGCUCGCUGGGACGUUACUGACGCUGAGACGCGAAAGCGUGGGGAGCAAACAGG
rnacentral:rRNA from 1 species